rnacentral:rRNA from 1 species
ACACUCCUGCGGGAGGCAGCAGUGGGGAAUUUUGGACAAUGGGCGAAAGCCUGAUCCAGCCAUGCCGCGUGCAGGAUGAAGGCCUUCGGGUUGUAAACUGCUUUUGUACGGAACGAAACGGCCUUUUCUAAUAAAGAGGGCUAAUGACGGUACCGUAAGAAUAAGCACCGGCUAACUACGUGCCAGCAGCCGCGGUAAUACGUAGGGUGCAAGCGUUAAUCGGAAUUACUGGGCGUAAAGCGUGCGCAGGCGGUUAUGUAAGACAGUUGUGAAAUCCCCGAGCUCAACCUGGGAACUGCAUCUGUGACUGCAUAGCUAGAGUACGGUAGAGGGGGAUGGAAUUCCGCGUGUAGCAGUGAAAUGCGUAGAUAUGCGGAGGAACACCGAUGGCGAAGGCAAUCCCCUGGACCUGUACUGACGCUCAUGCACGAAAGCGUGGGGAGCAAACAGGAUUAGAAACCCUGGUAGUCC